GGACGAACGCUGGCGGCGUGCCUAACACAUGCAAGUCGAACGAUCCCCUCCGGGGGAUAGUGGCGGACGGGUGAGUAACGCGUGAACAAUCUGCCCUGUACAGCGGAAUAGCCUCGGGAAACCGGGAUUAAAACCGCAUAACACUUCAGUAUCGCAUGAUACAAAAGUCAAAUUGAUUAAGAGGUAUAGGAUGAGUUCGCGUCUGAUUAGCUAGUUGGUGAGGUAAAGGCCCACCAAGGCGACGAUCAGUAGCCGGCCUGAGAGGGUGAACGGCCACACUGGAACUGAGACACGGUCCAGACUCCUACGGGAGGCAGCAGUGGGGAAUAUUGCACAAUGGAGGGAACUCUGAUGCAGCGACGCCGCGUGAGUGAAGAAGGUCUUCGGAUCGUAAAACUCUGUCCUUGGUGAAGAUAAUGACGGUAACCAAGGAGGAAGCCCCGGCUAACUACGUGCCAGCAGCCGCGGUAAUACGUAGGGGGCUAGCGUUGUCCGGAUUUACUGGGCGUAAAGGGUGAGUAGGCGGUUAUGUAUGUCAGAUGUAAAAGGCGCGGGCUUAACUUGCGUUAGCAUUUGAAACUGCAUAACUUGAGUGCAGGAGAGGUAAGCGGAAUUCCUAGUGUAGCGGUGAAAUGCGUAGAUAUUAGGAGGAACACCGGUGGCGAAGGCGGCUUACUGGACUGUAACUGACGCUGAGUCACGAAAGCGUGGGUAGCAAACAGGAUUAGAUACCCUGGUAGUCCACGCUGUAAACGAUGAGUGCUAGGUGUUGGGUAGCGAUACUCAGUGCCGGAGUAAACACAAUAAGCACUCCGCCUGGGGAGUACGGUCGCAAGACUGAAACUCAAAGGAAUUGACGGGGACCCGCACAAGCAGCGGAGCAUGUGGUUUAAUUCGAAGCAACGCGAAGAACCUUACCAAGGCUUGACAUCCCCUUGACAGAUGCAGAGAUGUGUCCUCUCCUUCGGGAGCAAGGGAGACAGGUGGUGCAUGGUUGUCGUCAGCUCGUGUCGUGAGGUGUUGGGUUAAGUCCCGCAACGAGCGCAACCCUUAUCCUUAGUUGCCAGCAAUAAGAUGGGCACUCUAAGGAGACUGCCGGUGAUAAACCGGAGGAAGGUGGGGAUGACGUCAAAUCAUCAUGCCCCUUAUGUCUUGGGCUACACACGUGCUACAAUGGUCGGUACAACGGGCAGCGAAGGAGCGAUCCCAAGCAAAUCCCAAUAAACCGAUCCCAGUUCGGAUUGCAGGCUGCAACUCGCCUGCAUGAAGUCGGAGUUGCUAGUAAUCGCGAAUCAGAACGUCGCGGUGAAUGCGUUCCCGGGUCU
rnacentral:rRNA from 1 species